rnacentral:pre_miRNA from 1 species
AAUUCCCUUCCUCUUCAGGACUGCCGGGUCUGUGCCCCAGCUAUGACUAUUUUGCUGGCAAGUUUUCGGCAGUUCAGAAGGUGUCUUGGGGAUCA